UUGUGGAGGAGGACGCCGAAGGUGGGGCUAAUGACUGGGGUGAAGUCGUAACAAGGUAGCCGUACCGGAAGGUGCGGCUGGAUCACCUCCUAACAGGGAGACAACAAAAUGUUUAAUAUUAUUAUUUUGUCACCUUAGGUCGAUCGGUAUCUCACAUUCUUAAUUUAUUAAGAAUUUCAUUUCCUAAGUUUUUCUAGGUCACACCCAUUAUUUUCCUGGGCCAUUAGCUCAGGUGGUUAGAGCGCACCCCUGAUAAGGGUGAGGUCCCUGGUUCAAGUCCAGGAUGGCCCAUAUCUCUAUGUUGGGGGUAUAGCUCAGUUGGUAGAGCGCCUGCUUUGCAAGCAGGAUGUCAGCGGUUCGAGUCCGCUUACCUCCACUGAUUACCACCUCUUCCAUAAUCUUUAGAAAGGAAAAUUUUUUGAGUUGUGAGCAUAAUUCUGAACGAAUCUAGCUUCCUAAUGAAAUCAUUAAGAUGCUGGACUCAUUGAUUAAUUUCAUUGUUUUCAGAGAACCUUGACAACUGCAUAGAUUAUUCUUAAAGACAAUAAGCAUCUUUAAUGAUGCAGAUUUAUUAUUUGUGCGAAUGCAUUAACAACAAUUCUAUUAAGCUGAUGCUUCAAUUUUGAAGUUAUUGGUCAAGCUACAA
rnacentral:misc_RNA from 1 species